rnacentral:rRNA from 1 species
CCGGCGCACGGGUGAGUAACACGUAUGGAACCUGCCCUAUGCAGGGGGAUAAGCGGAAGAAAUUCCGUCUAAUACCGCAUAACACCUUUAGGAGACAUCUUCUUGGGGUCAAAGGAGGCGACUCCGGCAUAGGAUGGCCAUGCGUCGCAUUAGCCAGUCGGCGGGGUAACGGCCCACCGAGGCGACGAUGCGUAGGGGUUCUGAGAGGAAGGUCCCCCACACUGGUACUGAGACACGGACCAGACUCCUACGGAAGGCAGCAG